rnacentral:tRNA from 1 species
GGAAAAGUGCCCGAGAACAAGGACUACUUUGAUAAAGUACAAACAGAGAAAAUAACCUCUCUUUUCCCA